rnacentral:misc_RNA from 1 species
GUUUCUACUUCCGGACGUAGCAGGUGUUACAGGGCCACACAGGGUCGCCAGCCGCGGAGGAGGCCCCAUUCAGGGCCCGGACCUCUCCCAGUGCCGUCCGGAAUUCCCCAGCCACGCUCGCCCCGUGGGAUACUGCUGUGUUCCUCCCAAUUCGACCAUCAUUGACUUCAAACUCCCUACAGUCACCUCCCCCCUCCGCAUCCGCCGCCCUGCCCAUGCCGCUGACCCAGCCUACAUCGCCAAAUACACUGAGGCAAUCGCCCUCAUGAAGGCCCUCCCGGACGACGACCCUCGCAGCUUCAACAACCAGGCCAGGAUCCACUGUGCCUACUGCAACAACGGCCAUAGCCAGCUCGGAUUCCCCGGACUCGACCUCCAGAUCCACUACUCAUGGUUCUUCUUACCCUGGCAUCGUUUCUUCUUAUACUUCCACGAGCGCAUCCUCGGCAGCCUGAUUGGUGACCCCAACUUCGCCAUCCCCUUCUGGAACUGGGACUCACCCUUGGGCAUGUCCCUUCCUCACAUGUAUGCAGCCAACUCAUCCUCCCCUCUCUACAACCCUAACCGCGAUGCCACUCACCAGCCAUUCACCACCGGUGGCAUCGUGGACCUCAACUACAAAGGUGUAGACGAGUCUCCGUCAACCGCAGAAGAGCA